UUUGGUGGCGAUAGCGAAGAGGUCACACCCUGUUCCCAUUCCGAACACGGCAGUUAAGCUCUUCAGCGCCGAUGGUAGUUGGGGGUUUCCCCCUGUGAGAGUAGGAUGCCGCCAAGC
rnacentral:rRNA from 1 species